rnacentral:rRNA from 1 species
AUCGGAUUGGUACUAAGCCAUGCGAGUCAUUGUAGCAAUACAAGGCGGACGGCUCAGUAACACGUAGUCAACCUAACUCGUGGACGUGGAUAACCUCGGGAAACUGAGAAUAAACCACGAUAGAUCAUAGUGCCUGGAAUGGCUUAUGGUUCAAACAGUUUACUGCCAUGGGAUGGGACUGCGGCCUGUCAGCUUGUUGGUGAGGUAAUGGCCCACCAAGGCGAUUACAGGUACGGGCUCUGAGAGGAGAAGCCCGGAGAUGGGUACUGAGACACGGACCCAGGCCCUAUGGGGCGCAGCAGGCGAGAAACCUUAGCAAUGUGCGAAAGCACGACUGGGUCAGUCCGAGUGAUUCCUGAUAAAGGAGUCUUUUGCUUGUCCUAAAAGCACAGGUGAAUAAGGGGUGGGCAAGUCUGGUGUCAGCCGCCGCGGUAAUACCAGCACCUCGAGUGGUCAGGACGUUUAUUGGGCCUAAAGCAUCCGUAGCCGGCUCUGCAAGUCUUCGGUUAAAUCCACCUGCUCAACAGAUGGGCCGCUGGAGAUACUACAGAGCUAGGGAGUGGGAGAGGCAGACGGUAUUCAGUGGGUAGGGGCAAAAUCCUCUGAUCCAUUGAGGACCACCAGUGGCGAAGGCGGUCUGCCAGAACACGUUCGACGGUGAGGGGUGAAAGCUGGGGGAGCAAACCGGAUUAGAUACCCGGGUAGUCCCAGCUGUAAACGAUGCAAACUCGGUGAUGCAUUGGCUUAUGGCCAAUGCAGUGCCGCAGGGAAGCCGUUAAGUUUGCCGCCUGGGAAGUACGGACGCAAGUCUGAAACUUAA